GCUAUCUGCACAGGUACGCUACGUUAUUUACCUCAGCGAGUAUUUUGCAGUGUCGUUUUUGGGAAGUUUCUGCGGAGGAAGAUUUUGACUUUGUUGAUGUGGAGCCAAAGUUCAGAAAGAGGGCUGAUGGGACAUUUUAAAUGACUCCCAUGAAGCUGAGAGGGAGAAGAGGAGUGCCCAGCCAUGGUCGCGUCCUCUUCCACCAGACAAGGUGUUGGAGUUGGCCAAACAAGCAGCAGUUCAGCAAGGCCUUGACCCAGAAGAUGAGCCAUUCCAGCAGUGCCAGCACGAGGCUCAUCAGAGCAUGUCUGUCCAUCAGUCCCAGCAGCAGUGCCAUGUGAACUGGAGCCAGCUGCCAUGGAUGACAGGGACCUGGUCAUGGCAGCAGAGCAUGUGGAGGAGGCGACAGCAGCAUAGAACAGAGUUUUUCUCCCUGCUGGCUGGAUACCGGUCCUAGACCAGCAGUGGAUCUCAAAGGCCCUUUUUAAGUGGUCCCGGACUGGACAGCCAGAGCUGGACUUCACCAGGGUGGACAGGAUGUGGUGGCACCCCCCGAAUCCAUCACUUGUCCCCACUGGUAUUCCCCCAAUGGAGAGGUACUUCGGCCACUCCCUAUUUAUUUGGUCUCCCUAUUUAUCUAUCCAAGCUUUUAUUUCAAGUUUUACAGUAUACAGAAAAUGAUUAUGCAUACUACAUUGCAGCUAACUGUUAAGAAGAGAGUCAUUUUAAAUAUCCUCAUUUCUCUUAGUUAGCGUUCAUACCGUCCCACAUGUGACACGUCAUUAUCAUUCCAUACAACGAUUGAUAUCUGUAGCAUAUUUUCAAUGCAAUGCAUCAGAGAAAAUGACACGUGACAGGUGAAAAACAAACGUGUGUAUCAUCCUCGUUUCUCUUAGUUAGCGAUCACACUGUCGCACGUGUGACACGUCAGUAUCAUUCCAUACAACGAUAGACAUCUGUAGCUUAUUUUCAAUGCAAAUAUGAACGUGCAUGACGGGAUUCGAACCGGCGCUUUAGGGGGCGCUUUUGGACAGUUCUUGGGAGACAAACCUCGAUAUAUGCGCAAUUUGCCUUGGCGCAGUGGUUAGAUUGUUCGUCUCCCAUGCCGGUGUGUGUCAAGGUGGCGGGUUCGAGGCCCUUGAGCGGCGAAUGAACCGACCUUGUGACACCAGGACAUUGCAUGUAAUGUAGAUGAAAUUUUGAGAGACGACACGAUGUAGACUGAUUUUUUUUUCUGAGUGAAAUUGCUAUUUUGUGUUUUGACUUGGAAAAACACACUUGUGUUUGUUUUAAUGUGUGUAAAUAAACACCAAUACUUUUUAGUUUGGAUCCCUGUAUGUUUACAGAACUAUGACAAAAGUAUGACCUCAAACUGAUAGCCGACCUUGUGCACAAUGAAAGCAAAAGCCAGAUGUGUUUUUUAUUCAUACCAUCAGUGUGUAGUUGGCACAUUGUGCGCUUAUUAUUGUGAUGGCUUGUGUUUACUGUUUGAUACGAAAACACCAUUUUUACACACUAGUAUAGCUAAGGCAUGCUAUCUAAACAUAGCACAUCCCACUAGUAUAGCUAAGACAUGCUAUCUAAACACAUCUCACUAGUAUAGCUAAGACAUGCUAUCUAAACACAGUACAUCCCACUAGUAUAGCUAAGACAUGCUAUCUAAACACAGCACAUCUCACUAGUAUAGCUAAGACAUGCUAUCUAAACACAGCACAUCCCACUAGUAUAGCUAAGACAUGCUAUCUAUUAGUAAACAAAUCCAUUUGUCUGAGGUGGAGGAGACAGCGGACUGCAUGUGAUCAAAAUGGAAUCAUUUAUUUGAGAUUGGACAUGUAUAGCUGUAAUCAUGUUAUAUAUCAUUUCAAAAUGACAAUAGCAAAUCAUAGCAUAAAGCUCAAACGCACAAACAAGCUUUAUUAGUAGAGUCGGUAUAAUGAAUAUAUGUGAUAUGAAAUUAAUUUCUGCUCGGCUGAAUGACUGCUCAUUUAGGCUGUAUACUGCAGGAUCUCAUCCAAAAAAAAUCUAAUAAUGAUAAAAUGAAUGGGAUGGUGUCUUUGAGAAUAAAUGAUAAAAAUGGUGUAAGAUGAUAUGACUUCCAAAUUCAUUAAAGGUGACCU